UACGGGGGGGGCAAGCGUUGUUCGGAAUUACUGGGCGUAAAGGGUUUGUAGGUGGCCCGCUAAGUCACACGUGAAAUCCCUCAGCUUAACUGGGGAACUGCGUGUGAGACUGGCAGGCUCGAGGGCAGGAGAGGAACGCGGAAUUCCAGGUGUAGCGGUGAAAUGCGUAGAUAUCUGGAGGAACACCGGUGGCGAAGGCGGCAUCCUGGACCAACACUGACGCUGAGUGAGCGAAAGCCAGGGGAGCAAACGGG
rnacentral:rRNA from 1 species